AUGUCUAAGCACAUGCCGAUUAAUGGUAAAGCCGCGAAUAGCUCAUUACAACAGCUUGACUUUACUAGAUCAAAUUAUCCUACAUGGAUAACUGUGGUAAUUCUAGAGCUAAUACAUGCACUUAAGCCGAGACCUUACGGAAUCGGCGCAUUUAUUAGAUCAAAGCCAAUCGGACUUCGGUCCGCUCUUUGGUGAAUCUGAAUAACUCAGCAGAUCGUACGGUCCUCGUACCGACGACGCUUCUUUCAACAAUCUGCCCUAUCAACUUUCGAUGGUAGUUUAUGCGCCUACCAUGGUUGUUACGGGUAACGGAGAAUCAGGGUUCGAUUCCGGAGAGGGAGCCUGAGAAACGGCUACCACAUCCAAGGAAGGCAGCAGGCACGCAAAUUACCCACUCCCGGCAAGGUGAGGUAGUGACGAAAAAUAACGAGAUGAUUCUCUAAGAAGGUCAUCAUCGGAAUGAGCACAAUUUAAAUCCUUUAACGAGGAUCUAUUGGAGGGCAAGUCUGGUGCCAGCAGCCGCGGUAAUUCCAGCUCCAAUAGCGUAUAUUAAAAUUGUUGCGUUUAAAAAGCUCGUAGUUGGAUCUCGGUCCAGAAUUGCGGUCCCCCUAACGGGUGGUUACUGCUUUUUCUGACCGAAAAUAUCCGGUUCGCCCUUGGUGCUCUUUACUGAGUGUCUUGGGUGGCUGGAAAAUUUACUUUGAAAAAAUUAGAGUGCUUAAAGCAGGCGUAAGCCUGAAUAGUGGUGCAUGGAAUAAUGGAAUAGGACCUCGGUUCUAUUUCGUUGGUUUUCGGACCCGAGGUAAUGAUUAAGAGGGACAGACGGGGGCAUUAGUAUUGCGACGUUAGAGGUGAAAUUCUUGGAUCGUCGCAAGACUAACUACUGCGAAAGCAUUUGCCAAGAAUGUUUUCAUUAAUCAAGAACGAAAGUUAGAGGUUCGAAGGCGAUCAGAUACCGCCCUAGUUCUAACCGUAAACGAUGCCAACUGGCGAUCUGUAGGGCAUAAAUUUAUGACCCUACAGGGAGCCACCGGGAAACCAAAGUUUUUGGGUUCCGGGGGAAGUAUGGUUGCAAAGCUGAAACUUAAAGGAAUUGACGGAAGGGCACCACCAGGAGUGGAGCCUGCGGCUUAAUUUGACUCAACGCGGGAAAACUUACCCGGCCCGGACACCGUAAGGAUUGACAGAUUGAGAGCUCUUUCUCGAUUCGGUGGGUAGUGGUGCAUGGCCGUUCUUAGUUGGUGGAGUGAUUUGUCUGGUUAAUUCCGAUAACGAACGAGACUCUAGCCUACUAAAUAGUUACCGAAUUUUUAGUUCGGUACACUUCUUAGAGGGACAAGUGGUAUUUAGCCACAUGAGAUUGAGCAAUAACAGGUCUGUGAUGCCCUUAGAUGUCCGGGGCUGCACGCGCGCUACACUGAAGGAGCCAACAUGUGUCUUCCUAGUCCGAAAGGACUGGGUAACCAUGUGAAACUCCUUCGUGAUAGGGAUAGGGAAUUGUAAUUAUUUCCCUUGAACGAGGAAUUCCUAGUAAGUGCGGGUCAUAAUCUCGCGUUGAUUACGUCCCUGCCCUUUGUACACACCGCCCGUCGCUACUACCGAUUGAGCGUUUACCUGAGCUAUUUGGACCGACGUCGCUGUGGCGCAAGCUACGGUCGAAGGUUGGGAAGACUAGCGAAGGCCAAUGCUUAGAGGAAGU
rnacentral:rRNA from 1 species